CUGAACACAAAAUGGCGACACGUGGUUAGCAUUCGUCGCCAACGAGAAAUUGGGGUCGGCCCGAAAGCUCUAGAAUGCACCCCUCUUCCUCCCCGGGGCCUUCCACCUCCGCGAGUUUUAUGACUUAAAAAAGCCCACAGGCUGGUCUGAAGGUCGGAGGCCUAAUUUUAACGCGUUUUCCUCCCUUUAAUUUGAAACGGGAACGCGAAUGACUGUAAAAUGUGGGCACAAUAUUUAAUCUCUCGCCUUUUUAAAGCUUAAUAGUGGAUAAUAGGGGGGCAGUAUCAAGGGAUAAUUUGGGUCCCCACAGUACCAAAGCAUUUAGAAACCUCUGUUUAAUUUAAGGAAUGAGAUAAGUUACUGCUUUUCUAGACUUCCUAGCAUGGGCUGUUGUGCUGGAGAGAACGAGAGCUACGAAGAGACUACAGUGCCUCUGACUUUUUCAUAGGACAGUUGGCCGAGAGGAAGACAAACAUAAAGAUGAAGUGCUUAAUUCAAGGUCACACAAUGUCGGGGAUGGACCUCCAGAUUUCCUUACUGACCUGCAUUAUCUUGUGGAUACCUGAGUGAAUUCCACACCACCCAUUUUAUAGAUGAAACCACUGAGACAUGGAGCAAUUGACUGAGUAGUCACUGCCCCACCCCUGCCUGGAGCCUCACACAUGACUCGCCUCCUCUCAGUGACCACAGGUUGGUUGAGGGGUUUAACAAGGCUAAGAAGGAAAACAAGCUCAGGGCUCCCACUGAUUGUACAUUAUGAGGUGAGACGUGGUCUUGUAACACAGUGGUUAAGAAUGUGACUUUGGAGCCAGCCUGCUAGGGGCUGAAUUCUGACUCAGCCAUUUACUAACUGUGUGACCUUAGCAAAUGCUUGUAGCAGGUAUUUUUUCACUCCAGACUGAGAAUAUUGGUGGGAUAUUGAUAAGGGGUACUGAAUGGUAAUAAACAUGUGCUCUAGCUCUGUGCUAGUCAGCUUAUUUCAGAACUCUAGUUUGAUUCAGUUUCUUGCCUCUGACUCAAAAUGGAGGGAGAGUGAGGGAGGAGGACCUGGUUGAUAGAAGAAUUUAUCUCGUAGUCUUAACAUCCACUGUAAUUCCAAACUUUGAGGACGAUAGAGAUCAGUGGGCUUUGACUGCCCAGCAUGCAGUCUCCAUUCUUAGAGGUGGGUUCCCAAGCCUGUAAAAUGUAAGCCUUAUGCUGCUGAGGGCCAUCUUGCCACCCUGAGGGAAACGCUGCCUGAGAAUGAAACAAGCAUAAGUAAAAGCUGAGCUGUGAGAUGGAGCAAGAUGAAGGCCACAUGACAUCUUUGGAGCACCUGGAUCUAACUGUGCCUUAAGCUAGUCUAACCCUGAACAUUUCAUCAUUUCAUUGACAUGAGCCCAGGUUUUCUUUUUUUUUGGAUGGAGUCUUGCUCUGUCGCCCAGGCUGGAGUGCAGUAGCUCAAUCUCGGCUCACUGCAAGCUCCACCUCCCGGGUUCACGCCAUUCUCCUGCCUUAGCCUCCCGUCACAGAAUUUUCCACACUCCUUGACAGAGGUGCUUAACCCUUAUCCAUCAGCAUUCUCAGACAGCACCUCCGGUUAGGGACAGUAUCUGACCGUCCGACAUCCCUGCAGCCCCCAUGUGUCACACAGACUCAGCCUCAGGUAGAUGGUUUCCGUAGAUGGUGGCUUUCUUUGGACCCUUGACAUCAACCAGUUACUAUUUG
rnacentral:lncRNA from 10 species